AAGGCAUGAUUGGGGUAUUUUCUGAUGAGGUCCUUUAAUCUUUCCCAUGACUCAUGGAACUACUCACCAUCUUGCUGCAAGAAGCUAGUGAGAGCUCGCCUU
rnacentral:snoRNA from 1 species